rnacentral:rRNA from 1 species
CUCGUAGGCGGUUUGUUAAGUCGGAUGUGAAAGCCCCGGGCUCAACCUGGGAACUGCAUUCGAUACUGGCAAACUAGAGUAUAGAAGAGGCAAGUGGAAUUCCAGGUGUAGCGGUGAAAUGCGUAGAUAUCUGGAGGAACAUCAGUGGCGAAGGCGACUUGCUGGUCUAAUACUGACGCUGAGGAGCAAAAGCGUGGGGAGCAAACAGGAUUAGAUACCCUGGUAGUCC